rnacentral:rRNA from 1 species
GAUGAACGCUGGCGGCGUGCCUAAUACAUGCAAGUCGAGCGAACGGACGAGAAGCUUGCUUCUCUGAUGUUAGCGGCGGACGGGUGAGUAACACGUGGAUAACCUACCUAUAAGACUGGGAUAACUUCGGGAAACCGGAGCUAAUACCGGAUAAUAUUUUGAACCGCAUGGUUCAAAAGUGAAAGACGGUCUUGCUGUCACUUAUAGAUGGAUCCGCGCUGCAUUAGCUAGUUGGUAAGGUAACGGCUUACCAAGGCAACGAUGCAUAGCCGACCUGAGAGGGUGAGCGGCCACACUGGAACUGAGACACGGGCCAGACUCCUACGGGAGGCAGCAGUAGGGAAUCUUCCGCAAUGGGCGAAAGCCUGACGGAGCAACGCCGCGUGAGUGAUGAAGGUCUUCGGAUCGUAAAACUCUGUUAUUAGGGAAGAACAUAUGUGUAAGUAACUGUGCACAUCUUGACGGUACCGAAUCAGAAAGCCACGGCUAACUACG